rnacentral:lncRNA from 7 species
UAGUGUCAGUGUUCAGCUCCCUGAAUGAGCUCACUAUAAAGCUUCAUGGGAAGUUAAGAAGAUGAGGUGGCAAUGUUCAGCCAGCAUCCAGGAAUGAAGAGCAGAACUGGGUUCAACCGUCACCCAACUGCAGAUAUUCAGAAAUUCCACAGCCAAACUCUCAAGAAUAGUCUUGAUGGGUUAAGAUAGAUAUUUGUGCUCCGAAAAGUAGAAUGGUGGAAACAAGAAUGAUCUUCAACUUUCAUUCAGGGAUCACUGCAACUAAGACCACUUUUCAGUUAGUGACAUCUUUGCUGGUAUGAAGAUAUAAAUCAGAUGCCUUUUAAAGGAAGGUGUUUCUUUUUAUCAUUUUUCUUCUUUAGUAGUAAGCAAUAUCACUUACAGAAGUAAACAUAGAACAGCAGAAUUUGAUUCCUCCCCUCCCCCAGCAUAAGUAGGCAGAAAAAAGUAAUGACUUUGCACAGAAACUAAAUGAAACUAAACAGUGCUUUCUGGGGGUUUGGUGUAGUAAAUCUCCAUGCUACUGAAAGCAGAAAAAACCCACUACUGUCAAACAGACCACACUGAUCCCUUUUACCAUCACCAAUCUUUCUGCCACAGAUUAUGCUGCCUCUGUCCAUACUUGCCUCCUUCCACCACUGUGGAUCUGUCCCCCUAUGAACAUCACUGGAAGAAAAAAAGAUCAGGGCUAAGAAUGAAGUAUCAGCAUUGCACUGUAAUAAUUUUACACUUUGUUUAAUGCUCUUUUUUCUGGUUUGCAGAAAGCUGAAUGUGUUUGUUUAAGCAGUAUUUUGAAAAAAUAGAAUUGUGAGGCUCUGAUUCUAUAAAUACCUGCACUUGAGUCAAGCUUAAGAGCCAAUGAUGGCACACAUGUGAUGCUCACUGAGAGGCACAGCCUGAGGCUUUGAUCAUCAGAGGUUUUGAUGAUACUUGCUAAGCCUGCAUGGAAUCAUGCUGACCAAUUUCAGUGUUUGAAGAGUUUAAGAUGGGGAGGGGGAAUAAAUCAAACUGCCUUCAGCAGCUAUGUUUCUGUCAUGAAACACAGUAAAUGAAUUGAAAUAUGAAUUUACAAAUAAAUAUAUAGUAAUAAAGGUGUAGUUUACC